AAUUAUGUAAUACCUGCUUCCUUUCAACAAUGGAGUUCUUUGGGGGUUUCCAAGAUCUAUAUGAAUCAGCUGCAACUUUUGAGUUGCUCUCCAUGUUGAUUUUGUGAAUGACAAUCCUGUUUGCCUACCAAAUUGACAUACCUUGGGAGUUCCUCUUCAAGUGGACGUAAACCUUUUGCCAGCUCUUUUUUCUGCAUAUACAAAAGAGCCCUGUGGUGGAAGUGACCCAACAGUUUGUGCCAAGUUUCUGCAACACUGGACUGACUUGGAAAAGCUAUCUGUUCUUCUUCCUUUGGAUUCAAAGAAAAGCUUUUACCCGCAUGUUGGAUUCAAAGAAAAGCUUUUACCCUGCAUCUUGAUUCUGUAUAGUUCCUGACGACUUGGGAUUAAUGAUCAAACACGCCUUAUCUUUAAAAUAUAGUUUGAAUCCAUUUUCGAGAAGCUGUCCGACACUUAGUAAAUUCUGAUCAAGUUCAGGAACAAACAAAACUUCGGAAAUAAGUUUUGUACGUGUAUAACUCUCAAUAGCUACAAUCCCCUUUCCCUUUGCCGGGAGGUAUUCGCCAUUUCCAAUCCUGACUCUUGAUGUUGCUGUUCUAUUAAGCUUCUUGAAAAGCUUUAUAUCACUACUCAUGUGGUUCGUAAAACCAUUAUCAGUAAGCCAGCUGUCACUUGAAAUACUAGAUGCAAAACAUGAUGCAAUAAAGAGUUGUUCUUUCUCUUGUUGAUUUGCAACUCGAGCUUCUCCUUGUUGCCUGCUGUCCUUUUUCCUUGCCAAUAAUCUCAGCAUGUCCAAGUUUUUGAUAUUUCUGGCAUCUCAUAUCCGGCUUUCUCCGGCAUUUGAAGUGAGGAUGAUUCUUCCUUUCACAAUACUGACACGAAGGGAAUUUUUCUCCUCUAUUGUUGCUUGGGUUGUGGCUACUUCCAUUACCAGCAGAAACCUGAUUAUUUUCAGCAUAAUUCUUCUUCCCUUUGUUUUCUUGUAUUUGCUUCUAGCAUAGUUUUGCAACUUGGGCUGUAGUACACCUUCUACUGACCCUUCCUGUUUCAUUAGUCUUCUUUGUUCUUGUGCGUGCAAUGCAUUGAAUAAUUCUGCCAGAGUGUCUUUGACAGAUCCUUAGUAUUUUCUAAGAAAGCAAUGGUUGGUUCGAACUUCUCAGGUAAUGCAACAAGAAUCUUCUCAACAACUCUGCUAUCAGGAAGCUUAUUGCCCAACAUUCAUACCUUGGUCACAAUGCUAAGAAGCCUAUUUGGGUAAAACAGGAAUUUCGUAAUCCUCCUCUACUGGCUUCCCAGAGAUCACAUGCCUCCCCACAUGAGUUUACCUCUUGAUAGCCCAUACCUGGUAGCUCUCUCCAUCAAACACCGGCAGAGAAAUAGCAUAAGAACCAGAAGAAUUUUCUGUUUCCAUAUGUUCAGAUGGCUUUUCAGGAAAGUAGGGCACUUGGUUUAUGGUUCACUCAGACUACACUCACAAGUCCCUUACGAAGAGGGGCUCUGAUACCAAUUUGAUGGUGGUAACAGGUGGAAAAAAACACACGAUAGAAGAAGAAAAGGAGAGUUAUCUUAUUAAAGUCGAGAGAAGAGAUGUUUAAAUGCUAGGAAAUCCUAACCUAUACGCAGUGAAAUAGUGCAGAAACUCAAAAUAGAAACUUUCUAAUAACUAGGAAAUAAAUCAAUCCAACAGCUACAUGCCUAAAACUAGAAAACUAACAAUUGAAAAACUAAAAUAGAAAAUAUCUAUCUUUUGGAAACAAAAACACAUCAGCAACCAUGUCGUCAUAUGCCAACUAAGCAUCAAUUACUAGCUCAUGAGGCAGAUUUCAACAGAUCCUUUCUCUAUUUUUUUGUUUAUUUUUUUUAUUUGUACCUUGUUUUCUGAUGAUACAUAUUACUUGCAGAGGUGAAGGCACCAAUAGCUAUUUUAGCUGCUGAGAUAGAUAAAAUUUCUCCUCCGGAGCUUAUUAAGCAGUUUGAGGAGAUUUUAUCAUCAAAACCUGAGGU